GACAGAGGGUGCUAGCGUUGUUCGGAAUUACUGGGCGUAAAGGGCUCGUAGGCGGCCAACUAAGUCGGAUGUGAAAUCCCCAGGCUUAACCUGGGAACUGCAUCCGAUACUGGAUGGCUUGAAUCCGGGAGAGGGAUGCGGAAUUCCAGGUGUAGCGGUGAAAUGCGUAGAUAUCUGGAGGAACACCGGUGGCGAAGGCGGCAUCCUGGACCGGCAUUGACGCUGAGGAGCGAAAGCGUGGGGAGCAAACAGG
rnacentral:rRNA from 1 species